rnacentral:rRNA from 1 species
UACGUAGGUGGCAAGCGUUGUCCGGAAUCAUUGGGCGUAAAGCGCGUGUAGGCGGUCCGGUAAGUCGGCUGUGAAAGUCCAGGGCUCAACCCUGGGAUGCCGGUCGAUACUGCCGGACUAGAGUUCGGAAGAGGCGAGUGGAAUUCCCGGUGUAGCGGUGAAAUGCGCAGAUAUCGGGAGGAACACCAAUGGCGAAGGCAGCUCGCUGGGACGUUACUGACGCUGAGACGCGAAAGCGUGGGGAGCAAACAGG